AACGGGGGGGGCAAGUGUUGUCCGGAAUUAUUGGGCGUAAAGAGCUCGUAGGCGGUCUGUCGCGUCUGCUGUGAAAACUCAGGGCUUAACCCUGAGCUUGCAGUGGGUACGGGCAGACUAGAGUGCGGUAGGGGAGACUGGAAUUCCUGGUGUAGCGGUGAAAUGCGCAGAUAUCAGGAGGAACACCGGUGGCGAAGGCGGGUCUCUGGGCCGAUACUGACGCUGAGGAGCGAAAGCGUGGGGAGCGAACAGG
rnacentral:rRNA from 1 species